UACGGAGGGUGCGAGCGUUGUUCGGAAUUAUUGGGCGUAAAGCGCGUGUAGGCGGUUUGAUAAGUCUGAUGUGAAAGCCCCGGGCUCAACCCGGGAAGUGCAUUGGAAACUGUCAGACUUGAAUACGGGAGAGGGCAGUGGAAUUCCUAGUGUAGGAGUGAAAUCCGUAGAUAUUAGGAGGAACACCGGUGGCGAAGGCGGCUGCCUGGACCGAUAUUGACGCUGAGACGCGAAAGCGUGGGGAGCAAACAGGAUUAGAUACC
rnacentral:rRNA from 1 species